GACGAACGCUGGCGGCGUGCUUAACACAUGCAAGUCGAACGGAAAGGCCCUGCUUUUGUGGGGUGCUCGAGUGGCGAACGGGUGAGUAACACGUGAGUAACCUGCCCUUGACUUUGGGAUAACUUCAGGAAACUGGGGCUAAUACCGGAUAGGAGCUCCUGCUGCAUGGUGGGGGUUGGAAAGUUUCGGCGGUUGGGGAUGGACUCGCGGCUUAUCAGCUUGUUGGUGGGGUAGUGGCUUACCAAGGCUUUGACGGGUAGCCGGCCUGAGAGGGUGACCGGCUACAUUGGGACUGAGAUACGGCCCAGACUCCUACGGGAGGCAGCAGUGGGGAAUAUUGCACAAUGGGCGAAAGCCUGAUGCAGCAACGCCGCGUGCGGGAUGACGGCCUUCGGGUUGUAAACCGCUUUCGCCUGUGACGAAGCGUGAGUGACGGUAAUGGGUAAAGAAGCACCGGCUAACUACGUG
rnacentral:rRNA from 1 species